CAUGGUGUCGACUGACCCCUCUUCUGGACAGGUUUGUGCCAGAGCAGUGUACGUGGUGGUUGCACCUGCUGCUUCUCUCUGUGGUCUGCUGCACAUUUGUCACCCAGCCACUCAUGAUCUGUUUGGCAGCGCUGGUUUUUGCUUGGAAAAGGAAACAUGACAGCCAGUUUUUUGUUGAGUCUUUACAUGAUGCAACCAAGGACCUAGAUUUGGAAUUGGAAGAAUACUCCAGAGCCCACAUUCUUCAUUUUCGCAGCUCCUGUAGUCCUGACAGUGCUGAGGAAGCUGAAAGGGUGAGCAGGAUUGGGAAGUUUCAGAACUGCUCUGUUCCAACCAUGCAGAU
rnacentral:lncRNA from 1 species